GCUCCUGCAUCCGAAAGUGAUCAUAGGCUGCCUGUGCCUAGGUCAUUGAUAGUGCAGGGAGAGGAACGCUGAAAGAGGUUGUCCCCGUGUUUGGAGGGUCCACCCUAUCCCAUCCGAACCCUGAAGCUUUCACACAACUCCUGUUGCUCUCCUGCCAGCCCUUGAGGAGUCCGGCGCUUGCUUGGCUGCCACAUGAAAGAUUGUCAGCUGACCUCUGUCCUGUGUGCCCAGUGGCCCCAGGUGACGUGUCUUCAAGAAGAGGCUGAGCUGCGGUGCUUGUAAGAGUCAUGUGCUGUUCCUGGGGCUUGGAUGAUGUAGGGGAAGCAAGGUGAAAGUGGUAUCCCGUGGUUCCACGUUCUGUCCUGCUGUGGGGCUGUCCCUCACAUGCUUUCAGUGGCUGUUGCAGAGGAAGAGCCUCCGGAAAUCUGCGUGGGUAAAGUCUCAGCCUUAGAUCCAAGGACAGUCCAAGGAAGUCCUAAGACCAUGGAGUUGGUGAUCUGGGAUCUGGGUUUGCUGAUAUUUCUCACCGUGAAUCUCUUGGUGGUGUUUGUGGGCACGAGAGGGGCAGAGAAUGGAGAGUGAGGCUACCACAUGAAGCGUCACCAGAGCUGCUCCCUGCUGCCUGCUCAGAGCACCCCGGAUCCACUGUUCAAUCUGCACAAGAUUCGGGGUCCAGACAUGGGAGACUUCAGCUGCCUCAGAGGACCGUGGACAGGGAAGGCCAGCCUCGCAUCCCUCUGUCCAUGCCUGGAAUGACUUUAAUAACCAAGAGUUUUAUUUUUGAAUUUGUAGCUGUCGUUCACUUUUUACCCACCCAUUCAAUAAACCUUACAGAAUUGC
rnacentral:lncRNA from 1 species